rnacentral:rRNA from 1 species
CACCGCGGUUAUACGAGAGACCCAAAUUGACAGUACCCGGCAUAAAGCGUGGUUAAGAAAAAAGCACAAUAAGGUCGAACUCUUUCAAGGCUGUUAUACGCAACCGAAAGAAAGAAGAUCAACAACGAAAGUGACCUUAACCAAAUCUGAACCCACGAAAGCUAGGAAA